rnacentral:rRNA from 1 species
GAUAAACGCUGGCGGCGUGCUUCAGGCAUGCAAGUCGAACGAGCGACCCCGGCUUGCCGGGGAAGCUAGUGGCGGACGGGUGAGUAACACGUAAGCAACCUGCCCAAAAGUGUGGAAUAACCCACCGAAAGGUGAGCUAAUACCGCAUGUUGUGGUUCUUCCUUGGAGGAAUCAUUAAAGGAUUUAUUCGCUUUUGGAGGGGCUUGCGGCCGAUUAGCUAGUUGGUGGGGUAAUGGCCCACCAAGGCGACGAUCGGUAGCUGGUCUGAGAGGACGGACAGCCACACGGGGACUGAGAUACGGCCCCGACUCCUACGGGAGGCAG